rnacentral:rRNA from 1 species
CCUACGGGCGGCAGCAGUGGGGAAUAUUGGUCAAUGGAGGCAACUCUGACCCAGCAAUGCCGCGUGAAUGAAGAAGGUCUUCGGAUUGUAAAGUUCUUUAUUUAGGGACGAAGACGAUGACGGUACCCGAGGAAUAAGCCACGGCAAACUAUGUGCCAGCAGCCGCGGUAAUACAGAGGUGGCAAGCGUUGUUCGGAAUGACUGGGGGUAAAGGUUGCGUAGGCGGUCUGGUAAGUUGGAAGUGAAAUCCCGGGGCUCAACCCCGGAACUGCUUUCAAGACUGACGGACUUGAGUGUAAUAGGGGUAAGCGGAAUGCCUGGUGUAGCGGUGGAAUGCGUAGAUAUUAGGAGGAACACCAAUGGCGAAGGCAGCUUACUGGAUUAUAACUGACGCUGAGGCUCGAAAGCGUGGGUAGCAAACAGGAUUAGAUACCCCAGUAGUC